GAGCACGUAGGUGGGUUUGUAAGUCAGAUGUGAAAGCCUUCUGUUCAACGGAAGAAUUGCAUCUGAAACUGCGAGUCUUGAGUGUAGGAGGGGAGAAUGGAACUUCUGGUGGAGCGGUGAAAUGCGUAGAUAUCAGAAGGAACGCCGGCGGCGAAAGCGAUUUUCUGGCCUAUUACUGACACUCAGUGUGCGAAAGCUAGGGGAGCAAACGGGAUUAGAUACCCCGGUAGUCCUAGCCGUAAACGAUGGGCACUAAGUAGAGGGG
rnacentral:rRNA from 1 species